GCGGAGGAAAAGAAACCAACAGGGAUUGCCUUAGUAACGGCGAGUGAACAGGCAAGAGCUCAGAUUUGAAAGCCUUUUUGGCAUUGUAUUCUGAAGUAUUUAUCCUGAGUAAUGAUGUCUAAGUCUUCUGGAAAGGAGCGCCAUGGAGGGUGAUAGCCCCGUGUGACAUCCCACUCAUUGUAGGAUUUAUACGUGGAGUCGAGUUGUUUGGGAAUGCAGCUCAAACGGGUGGUAUGCUCCAUCUAAAGCUAAAUAUCUGUGAGAGACCGAUAGCGAACAAGUACUGUGAAGGAAAGAUGAAAAGAACUUUGAAAAGAGAGUGAAAAAGUACGUGAAAUUGUUGAAAUGGAAGGGUAGGCCGCUAACCAUGUAGAACCGUGUUUGGGGGGAAGAUAAAAGCUGAAGAAUGUGGCUCCUCGGAGUGUUAUAGCUUCAGUCAAUAUUCCCAUCCGAGCGCGAGGAUCUCAGGUUCUACUAAAUGGUGGUCUACCACCCGUCUUG
rnacentral:rRNA from 1 species